rnacentral:rRNA from 1 species
GACGAACGCUGGCGGCGUGCCUAAUACAUGCAAGUUGAGCGCUGAAGGUUGGUACUUGUACCAACUGGAUGAGCAGCGAACGGGUGAGUAACGCGUGGGGAAUCUGCCUUUGAGCGGGGGACAACAUUUGGAAACGAAUGCUAAUACCGCAUAAAAACUUUAAACACAAGUUUUAAGUUUGAAAGAUGCAAUUGCAUCACUCAAAGAUGAUCCCGCGUUGUAUUAGCUAGUUGGUGAGGUAAAGGCUCACCAAGGCGAUGAUACAUAGCCGACCUGAGAGGGUGAUCGGCCAGACUGGGACUGAGACACGGCCCAAACGCCUACGGGAGGCAGCAGUAGGGAAUCUUCGGCAAUGGACGAAAGUCUGACCGAGCAACGCCGCGGGAGGGAAGAAGGUUGUCGGAUCGUAAAACUCUGUUGGUAGAGAAGAACGUUGGUGAGAGUGGAAAGCUCAUCAAGUGACGGUAACUACCCAGAAAGGGACGGCUAACUACGUG